rnacentral:lncRNA from 1 species
GUUUUUAGGAAGUACAUGCUGAAUAGUUACGAGGAAAGGGGCAGCAUGUGUGCAUCUUACUCUUAAGUGGUUCAGAAAAAUUAUGCAUGUGUGUGUGCAUAUAUGUGUGUGUGCAUGUGUGUGUGUAAAAACACGGGUGCAUGAUGAACCACAUGUACUAAAAUGUCUGAAUUCUUUGUACUAUUUCUGCAACUUUCUCAAAGUCUGAAAUUAUGUCAAGAUGUGUUUUUAAAUGAUGAAAACAAAUAACGUAUCCCCCUAAAUGCCCAAGGACUGCUGUUUAAGAAUGUGUUUUGUAGCAUCUGGUGCAUUUUACCAAGAGGGACUGAAAUGAAUUCUGAUACACAUGUAGGAUGGCCUGUUUUGGUAGAUGCAUGGGAAAAAGCAUGAAGAAUUUCCACCAACCUAUGAACUGACAUAUUCAACUCUGAGAGAACUUCCAGGUAAACAUGGUCGGCUACUCAUGUGUUAUCUCCACACCCCCAAGCAACAUGAACUGCGCCAUCACUGACUUCUAAAGAUGAUAAAUCCUCCCACCGAAGGGCACGUAGUUUUGGAAGAUGGACACAGAAGGGCUGACAGCUAACACAGCCUCCAGUGUUCCCUGCUCCACUGAGCAUCCUCAGAGGGAGACAGCACAGGGACACCUGGAGCAGAGCGAGGCCCAGCGGAGCCCAAGAGACAGGGGAGGGGAAGGCAAGGAAGGAGGAACGCAGUGGGAACGGAAGGGGGUCAGCAAGAGAAAAAAGGUGCAUGGGUUGAGUCUUUUAUCACAAACUGUUAGCUACAUUCCCUCUGCCGCACCUCGGAUCCCAGGUCUCUUUUCUCAUCCUCACUGAUAAAGAGACUCCUCCUGAUGCCCCCGUGCAGGACAGCGCAGCUUAACCCGUGGGGACACUAAGCCCAGUGCAGGACAGGGAUGCUCACCUAACAGGCGACAGGGGAUCUGGGGAAAGACACCAGCUUCCACCAAGCUUCCAUGCCAUGGCAAGGAUGUUGGCAGCUGGACCCAGGCUCCCCUGGGCACUGAAGGAGUCUCCUCCUGCAGGUUCCGCAGGGUCCCACUGCCUGGAGACCAGCAGCCAGCACACUGUCCCCACAGAGAGACUUCAAACCACUAUGCAGGGCCCCUUCUUCCAUGGGAAGUGAUGAAGGGGCAACCUAGGUCUGCCCUGUGUCUGGGGAACACCCCAACGUGAAAGCAAGCAAGCUGGCAGGAGGGAGCCUGGAGGAGAAGAACAUUCCCAGAGCUCACAGCACCCACAGAGAGCCAACAGAAGACUAAGUUGAACCUCCCCCCAGAGAGCCAACAGAAGACUAAGCUGAACCUCAGGACACACUCUUUUUUUUUUUUUUGUGUGUGUGUGGCUGAAAACCUGUUAUCAAUUUCACAUGAUUCAGUCUAACAUGAAAUAAAACAGGAUGCACUGAAAGGGCAGAGAAACAUCAGUAAACAUUGAAAAUAUGGCAGGA